rnacentral:rRNA from 1 species
AGUGAGCGCUGGCGGUAGGCCUAACACAUGCAAGUCGAACGGCAGCACAGUAAGAGCUUGCUCUUACGGGUGGCGAGUGGCGGACGGGUGAGGAAUACAUCGGAAUCUACUUUUUCGUGGGGGAUAACGUAGGGAAACUUACGCUAAUACCGCAUACGACCUACGGGUGAAAGCAGGGGAUCUUCGGACCUUGCGCGAUUGAAUGAGCCGAUGUCGGAUUAGCUAGUUGGCGGGGUAACGGCCCACCAAGGCGACGAUCCGUAGCUGGUCUGAGAGGAUGAUCAGCCACACUGGAACUGAGACACGGUCCAGACUCCUACGGGAGGCAGCAGUGGGGAAUAUUGGACAAUGGGCGCAAGCCUGAUCCAGCCAUACCGCGUGGGUGAAGAAGGCCUUCGGGUUGUAAAGCCCUUUUGUUGGGAAAGAAAAGCAGCAGGUUAAUACCCCGCUGUUCUGACGGUACCCAAAGAAUAAGCACCGGCUAACUUCGUG